AUGUCACAAUCACACACUGUGUCCAGUAAGAGUUGUGCAUCACAUAGAAGAUAUGUAUGUUGCUUCUGUGAUUUUGAUUCACCUUUCACUACUGCAUGGACAAGUGAGAAGCCUGGGAAUAGGUUUAGUGGUUGUGGGUUAUACAAGUUGCAGGGACGAAAAGGAUGUAAUUUCUUCAAUUGGUACGAUGAAGAAAUGUUUGUGUGUGCAAAGGAGGUGAUUUUGUCACUAAUGAAGAGAAUUGAUGAACUUAAGAAGGAGGAUAAUAUAAAGCUGGAACAAAAUAAAGAUUUGAAAAAGAAGCUAAAGUUUUUCCAAGGAUUGGUUGUUGUAGCUGUUGUGGUCUAUAUGGGAUUGCUCUGUAUUGUUAACUUGAAGGCCUGA